UAUGUUAUACUGCAUGCUAGAAAGGACAGGAGUGUAUAUAACUAUAAUCUCUCCAGUUCCAGGGAGUGGUUGUCGCUGCGAAUGCAAUAGAGAGAGGGUGAGCUACAGGCGGCCGGUCUAUGGGAAACGUGUCUCCAUCAAGCAGAGGUACACGACAAGGUGCGGUUUCUUGGGCUGGAACAGAUGCACUCGAUACAGGACAAAAUGGACAAGCACCAUAACCGGUUACACCACAGGAUAUCGAGAAGACAAAUGUAGUCCAGGUGAUUGUCCUCUUUGUUACAAUUGGCGUGGACCAGAAGCUUUACCAUAGGAUAUCGACUUAAAGAAUGUAGUCCAGGUGAUUGUCGUCCUUGUCCUCCCGGUUGGCCUGGAGAAGCUGUCAGACCGGGAAUAUCGACGUUCCAUCGUUCGACAAAUUGUAAAGAAAUAAAUAUUACUGCAUUUA